rnacentral:rRNA from 1 species
CAGCAGCCGCGGUAAUACGUAGGGUGCGAGCGUUAAUCGGAAUUACUGGGCGUAAAGCGUGCGCAGGCGGUUUUGUAAGUCAGAUGUGAAAUCCCCGGGCUCAACCUGGGAACUGCGUUUGAAACUACAAGACUAGAGUGUGGCAGAGGGGGGUGGAAUUCCGCGUGUAGCAGUGAAAUGCGUAGAGAUGUGGAGGAACACCGAUGGCGAAGGCAGCCCCCUGGGUCAACACUGACGCUCAGGCACGAAAGCAUGGGGAGCAAACAGGAUUAGAUACCCUGGUAGUCCAUGCCCUAAACGAUGUCAACUAGUUGUCGGGCCUUUACGGGCUUGGUAACGUAGCUAACGCGUGAAGUUGACCGCCUGGGGAGUACGAUCGCAAGAUUAAAACUCAAAUGAAUUGACGGGGACCCGCACAAGCGGUGGAUUAUGUGGAUUAAUUCGAUGCAACGCGAAAAACCUUACCUACCCUUGACAUGUAUCGAAGCCCGCAGAAAAGCGGAGGUGCCCGAAAGGAACGAUAACACAGGUGCUGCAUGGCUGUCGUCAGCUCGUGUCGUGAGAUGUUGGGUUAAGUCCCGCAACGAGCGCAACCCUUGUCAUUAAUUGCCAUCAUUUAGUUGGGCACUUUAAUGAGACUGCCGGUGACAAACCGGAGGAAGGUGGGGAUGACUUCAAGUCCUCAUGGCCCUUAUGGGUAGGGCUUCACACGUAAUACAAUGGCGCGUACAGAGGGUUGCCAACCCGCGAGGGGGAGCUAAUCUCAGAAAGCGCGUCGUAGUCCGGAUCGGAGUCUGCAACUCGACUCCGUGAAGUCGGAAUCGCUAGUAAUCGCGGAUCAGCAUGUCGCGGUGAAUACGUUCCCGGGUCUUGUACACACCGCCCGUCACACCAUGGGAGUGGGUUCCACCAGAAGCAGGUAGUCUAACCGCAAGGAGGGCGCUUGCCACGGUGAGAUUCAUGACUGGGGUGAAGUCGUAACAAGGUAACCGUA